UUACUACUCCCUCUGUUCGGAAUUACUUGUCACAAAAAUGGAUGUAUCUACAACUAAAAUACAUCUAGAUACAUUCAUUUCUUGGACGAGUAAUUCCGAACGGAGGGAGUACCUA
rnacentral:pre_miRNA from 1 species